rnacentral:rRNA from 1 species
ACGGAAGGCAGCAGUGGGGGAUAUUGCACAAUGGGGGGAACCCUGAUCCAGCGACGCCGCGUGAGUGAAGAAGUAUUUCGGUAUGUAAAGCUCUAUCAGCACGGAAGAAAAUGACGGUACUUGACUAAUAAGCUCCGGCUAACUACGUGCCAGCAGCCGCGGUAAUACGUAUGGAGCAAGCGUUAUCCGGAUUUACUGGGUGUAAAGGGAGCGUAGACGGCAAAGCAAGUCUGAAGUGAAAUCCCGGGGCUCAACCCCGGAACUGCUGUGGAAACUGUUUGGCUAGAGUGCAGGAGAGGUAAGUGGAAUUCCUAGUGUAGCGGUGAAAUGCGUAGAUAUUAGGAGGAACACCAGUGGCGAAGGCGGCUUACUGGACUGUAACUGACGUUGAGGCUCGAAAGCGUGGGGAGCAAACAGGAUUAGAUACCCUGGUA